rnacentral:tRNA from 1 species
GCCGACUUAGCUCAGUUGGUAGAGCAACCUGACUUGUAAUCAGUAGAUCAAUCGUUCGAUUACGGUAGUCGGCACAA